GGAGGGAGAGCUUUUGGGGUCCCACUUAGAUAGUAGUAAGCUUGGCAAUCACUCCACAAGGACUCUGAUGCUAUUUUUCCAUCCCUUCAGAUAUCCCCUUUGUGACUCUUAACAUGGCUCUUGGGCAGUUUCCCAGAAAAAAUGCACUUUGAUACAUUCUGGACAAGAUUUCCAGGGACCCUCUGAGCAGGAUAGGAUCCCAUGCCCUGUGCCAUGGCUGUCCUUGUCAGCAGAACCUGAGGGGCAGAUUCUCCUCAGCCUGUCCCCAGAGCUCUGUGCUGUAUGCAAAAGAGGUGACCCGGAAGCCAAAGCAUGGGUAUAUCAGCUGAGUGUGCAAGUGCCUUCUAGUACUAGACCGGACAAACUUCCAAACAAACUCCUGCCUAGGGGGUAAGGAGAUUGAAUCUGUUCACAAGGAUGCUAUGGGAAUCAGGUUCCCUUCUCUCAGCAACCAGCUGAAGGUGCAAUGCUGAAGUGUCACACUCUGGAGCAGUUAGCAGUUGCCAGCCAGCAAGUUCUCAACAUGGGUUCUUCAUGAGAAAAUGCUGGGAGGAGGCCAACUGUCUGCUGCCUGAACUGGGAGUUUGGAAUCCACAACUGCAGCCUAGCGCAUGACACGACUGUGGCUGUUGUGUCAUAUUGCUGCCAUAGUUGAGUACAAUACAGAGAAAAUGGACAUGCAGAACAAGAGAAGCCAGCUACCGUUGACUGAGCCACCAGAUAAUUAUUGACGUCACAACCCCACCCUGCC